GCCAUCUUGAUAAGGGAGUUUCGCAAUAAAGCAUUUGCCGGGUGGGUGACUGAUAGCAAAGCUGUGUUUCCUGGGGAAAAGUGUGGCAUCUUCAGUUUACAUCAACUUGCUCUCAUCUGAGACAAAACUCUGUGUGUCCCUGCUGCGAUGGAUGCCAGAUAGAGCCUGCUUGCCUAGGAUGGGGACAGAUGCCAUUGGAAACAGGUCAGGAACUGAGAUGGAAUGACCCCACCUGUCAGUUCACUGGAACUGCCAUGCCCUGAUAUUGACGUGAAAGGGCAAAUUUACAACAGCGGCCAGUACUUUUGCAAGAUCGCUGGAGAGAAUUCAUCAUCAGAAUAGAGAUUGCAAGACCAUCACGAUGACUUCACGUCAGUGCCAGCAUAUGCAGCCGUGGAAUACAGUGAGCGCUCUCUGCGGCUGACAGCAAUAGCGGUGAUCUAAUUUACCCGGCGACUGGAAGAAACUCUUUGUACAGGCUCUGGGUCCCUUUGGAUUAGUGACUUCAAGGUCAACUGGAGGAGAAAGGAAGCAGGGCUGAGGGUCACCCUCUCCUGUCUCAUUUGCAUGCUCUUGAAUAUAUGAUUUUAAGAAACAUGCGUUUUUGAUCUGCAAUGUAAAAAUUCCUCAAUGAUUUUUUGUACAGAUGUGCAGAAUACAGGAAUGAAAUAAAAUAUUGAG
rnacentral:lncRNA from 1 species